UUAUUUUACUUCCAAUUUUCUGGUUCAAUCCUAUUGACUUUUCAUAUUAAUUUCUCGGUUCUUUUAAGCCCUAACAGGAUAUGACUUUGCAAAAACAACUCCGGGGAGGGCUUGAUUCAGGACCUGGAACCUAAGUUCAAAUUUCUAUACGUGCCAUUACCAACUUCCGAUAUCUCCCUUCCACUUCUUCCACAAUGAAAUUGAGAGCAGGCCCAAAUAUUCAAAGAUCUGAAGCAAACUUUGCCCUAACAGGAUAUGACUUUGCAAAAACAAUUCCGGGGAGGGCUUGAUUCAGGACCUGGAACCUAAGUUCAAAUUUCUAUACGUGCCAUUACCAACUUCCGAUAUCGCCCUUCCACUUCUUCCACAAUGAAAUUGAGAGUAGGCCCAAAUAUUCAAAGAUCUGAAGCAAACUUUGGCGAGGAGCUUCAGGCGAGCUCCUCAGGCGAGCUCGAGCGUGGCGCGGGCGAGGGCGAUAUCCGAAGGCAAGUUCGGAGAUCUGCAGGUGAGGUCGACGCAGCUGCAGGCGAGCUCGCGACCUUCAGGCGAGCUUGAGGAAACCCGCA